ensembl:lncRNA
GAGGCAUAAGAGGAAGGGGAGGAGGAAGACAAGGGGCUAAUAGCAAAUAGUGGGUCAGAGAAAAUUGGUAAUGGUUAGGUAGAGGCAGAGGAUUUAUUAGAGGAAGUGAAAGGACCAAAAGUAAGCAGGAGUGAAAAGUGAGUGGGAGUGAGGGAGGUGAAAAUAGGAGCGAUAGAUGAGAUAAGAAUGAGGCGAGGAGGGCGGCAGAUUGGGAAAUGGUUUUGAGUACCUCUAAGCCUACAGGUGACUGGUUUGGCAGCAGUGUUGGGAGGGAGGGAGAAAGGCAAGUGAGUGGAAGUAUCAUAAAAAUGGAAUAGGUUGCACAGUGCAAAUCUGUGUGGAGUUGAGAGUGGUGGAGCUGAUGGAGUGAAUUGGUCAAGUGCAGAGAUGGAGCAGAGCAAAAAAAAAGAAGCAGUCAAUGUCUAGCAGGCGAGGGGAGCUGAGGAGAGACGACCAGUGAGUCUGCGGUGGUAUAAAUCUGACAGGAGGAUUCUCACCGGCAGGAGACGGGAGGGUGGCUGGGAAAAAAAACAGAGGUCAGAGCUGCUCCUCUGUGAUCACCUUCAGCUGAGUUCAUGAAGGAGUGAGUUUGUCGGUGCUUGAAGAGCAGGACCAAAAAGGAAAAAAACCAAAAAGUGCUGGACUGAAGUGCUCUGUGGAGGGACAGGCUGACUGAAGGGACUCUGCUUCCUGUAUCUGUUUCCGUUUAAGCUUCUUACCUUUUCAUUGAGGAAAUACUCCUCGUACAAACUGACUGGAGAAACUCACACCUCUGGACACUUUGGGAAAACCUUUGAUUUUAUUGUCUUUUUCUGAUUUUUGUGGUUUCCGUUACAUCCUGGACAGAGUUUUGAGACAGUGGAGGAUGUUGAGGACAUGAAUUCAGAGUUGAAAGUGUAAACACCUGUGAUUUGAUUUUUCAGCGUAACACAUAAGAGCUCUUAACUGACGCUUUUCUCCUCAGGGAAGCUUCUCACCUUGCUCCUGAAUGCUCGGCACCCAACGCAGGUCGCUUUUGGAUAUUCAUGUAUGACCUAUCCUUAUUGAGGCAUAAUGCGAGUCAGUAAAGUUCUGAUG